GUUUAGGGUUCACUGAGGCUAACUUUGCAUUUCUGGUACUUCGGCUCGUAAAAUAGUCUCGCCAUCACCGUAGUCGACAUUUAUCGACAUUUUAGCAGUAAUAAUACGUAUAGUACGAUACGUUUCCACAUCGAAGCGGUUUUAACUACUAUGAGUUGAUCAGAAAUAAUCAAUUUUAUACAUUAUUUAAAAGACGUAGUCGUUUCUUAUUAUACACUCCUAGCAUUAGCAAUUAGCCUCAGUGAGGCUGUUUAGUCGCGGAGGGAUCUUGCCGCCUGUUUAUGUCUUGUUCAUAUUAUUCAGAGACAUGUUACAUGGUUCUGUUGCCCACGGCGACGAAGACGCGAACAUUAGCAACACGGAAAACAAUAAGCUGGUGGUAAAGUUCAUAGGGGACAGCGAUGGGUUGAACGCGGGCAACAAGGCGAGGCUGAGGAAAGGAGGGAAGAAGCUGCUGCUGCGGACGACGACGGCGCACAAACAGGUAAAAAAUAGUCCCGUCAUCCGCCUGUCUGACCUGAACAACAACAACUCUCUGACGACAUCAUCCGUCAACAAACCCGCCUCUCAACAACAACAACAGCAUCAAUCCAGUACCGAACCUCCGGCGGUCACACACAUGGUUCUGAACCUCCACCAUGUAAAGAAUGGAUCCAGAAAAGAGGUGCUCAAAUCUAAGGGAGGCAGACCAGAGCGUGGGACCACACAACCCAGUCGCCACACGGCACAGAACCUGCCCAGAAGUGACCGUCAUACGUCCCAGAAUGUGAACAACAAGAGCCACAGGCCACGGCUUGACCAACCAGCUGCUGCUGCUGCUCCUCGUGCUGUGAAGAGGAGCGAUCACAGCAGUCCCAAGAAGCCCCUCCCCCCUCACCAGCCUCCAUCACUAGAUCAGAACAAACCGCUCCACACCUCCGACACUGUGAAGCUGCUGUACGGGUCCCCGCCUCCCAAAUCUGCCCCCCCUGAACUCCUCAGGGAUGGAGAGAAAGUGUACGCUGGCGCCAAGUUCAGUGAACCGCCAUCACCCAGUGUCUUACCCAAACCGCCCAGCCACUGGGUUGGAGAGGAGCAGCCCCAGAACGGCAGGCAGAGUCGAGAGCUGAUGGCCGUUCAGCUGAAGUCGCUGCUGAAGGUUCAAGACACGGCGUGACCAUAAACACGGCGUCCAGAAGGACUGUCUACCAUUGUUUCUGAAACGUCUGGACCACAGGAGUUGAGUGAACAGUCAGAGUUCAGAGGGUUCAGAAUUGACAUGAUCUACUAACAUAGGGCUCCACAGGAAGUUGUUUCGUGGACGGACAGACGUGCCGACCGACCGGACCUCCAGACCAACCUUUCUGACAUUUAACAAAAUCAUGCAGUUGUUUGCACAAUGAGAUUUCACCGUCACCAAAUCUUUAAUCUCCUCCCAGAUUCUAACAUCUGCAGUGCAACUGUGAGAUUUCAUCCCCCUGAACCAUUAUUUUUACACGACUUACCCCUUUACCCCAACACUCCUGUGAACCUGAGCAGGAGUCACGAUGCUGCAGAAGGAUCGCAGUGACAGGCUGAGGUCAGUCUGAGGUCACAGGCUGGAACCAUGGGGUUUUUUAGAGAUGAAAGAGGCAGCUCUGCCGAUGUACAGAAUAUAUUGUAAACAUAUAUUGUGUAUAUUUUUUUCUUUGUGGUUGUUUUAACUGAGAUUCUAGUUUUGUUACUGAAUUUCUCUCUCUCUUUUUUUUUUAAACUCCAAAUGUCCCCUGCUAACUGAGGCACUUUCCAAGAACUUCCUCAGUGGAUGUGGGAAAAGACAUUUCCCACUCAUUUGCACUGAUUAUAAAGAAGCAGAAAAGUCCACAAAGCAGAGAUUGUUGCAGCAGCUGUGAUACAACCACCAGCCAGAGAACAGUGGAGAAAAAAGCCUGGAUUCACCACAUGGUGGCGCUACACCCUGCAUCUUUAAGGGUGUUUCAAGGUGCUGCAGUCAAACGUUGACUCUGUCCAGCAGAGUCGGGUGUGAAGACGACAAGGACGACAGGGUGAUGUCCACUUCAACUGAGUGACCCGAACAAAACAAAGGAGGAUGAGGGCUGCGACCCACGGCUUUAUCCAAACCCUUCUCCCUGUGACCCUGAUGCUUUGACAGAAACCGUUUGUCUUUGGUCAGUUUCUCGUCCUUCACCUCAAAUCUUCAGCACCACCGCUGGAGUGUCUGUGACCCUCCUUUGCAAAUAUACUUCACCUGAUGCUGAUUGUAAGGGCGUGACCUGGAUCUUCUGUUCACGUAAAGAACAGGAAAUAGAACUGGGAAAAUAUCUGAAGGGUGACAAAUAUCAAGUCACAGGGAGCUGUUCUCUGGUGAUAAGAAAAGUCACAGAGGACGACGCUGGUCAUUACAGCUGCACAGGCCGUAACAGGACCCACACCCACACCCAGAUGGAUGUUGUCAAAGGUAUGUACUGACUGCAGACCAGGUCCAGUAGGUCCUGGAUCUACUGCAGACCAGGUCCUUACACAUGUCGGCCUCUUGGUAAAAUGAAGGCUGAGCAGAGAAGGUCAGAUAAAAUUCAAAGGAACUGUGUCAUUAGUAUAUUUCAGUGGAAAGUCUCAACCACUACUUUUCCCACAAUGCUGCUGUGCCACAGAGUAGAGAGGAAGUUGAUGGUGUGGACACUUCAGUCGAGUCGCGAGGUCCGUACUUCACUUCAACAUUUAGUUCAACACCACUUCCUGUUAACAGAACUGACCAGAUCUGUGACCCGCUGGUUAAUUAAAGCCAUGUUUACUGGUAGUGUGGAUGGAGUGGGGGGGGGGGGGGGGGGGGGGGGGGACCUCUGUUGGCCUUUCCUUAGUUUCUCUAACGAGGUAGGGCGAGACUGAUCAAGACGUUUGUCCAAGGCAGGCAGCGGUCUUCAGACCUCAGACCUCCAAACAGUACAGCACCAGUACUAGUUGUUUUGUUUUAGACCACAGGAGUCCAAAUGAUACACAGGUUCAUAUGUUCAUGUUUGUGUUUUAUUUUAAACAAAUGAAAAAGAAAUACAUCAACCAAGAGGUUCAUGCCCUCAGCGCUCCCCUUGUGGACACCAUGGGAAUCACAGAGCUCUUUAUCGUCAUGAU